CCCAGCAUCGGUUUGAAGUUUACAAGAUUUUCUACCCUGUUUUAAAAUUUGUUUGAAAGAUUUUACAAGCUUUGCCCAUUUCUUAUCCUUGAGUGGAACAACCCAUGCAUAUUUAGAAAACACGUCGAAACACGUGAGUAAAUACUUAAACUGACUUACAGCGAAACGUGAAAUU